AAUUUGAAAUCUGGCCCUCGGGUCCGAGUUGUAAUUUGCAGAGGAUGCUUUUGGCGCGGUGCCUUCCGAGUUCCCUGGAACGGGACGCCGCAGAGGGUGAGAGCCCCGUACGGUUGGACACCAAGCCUCUGUAAAGCUCCUUCGACGAGUCGAGUAGUUUGGGAAUGCUGCUCUAAAUGGGAGGUAAAUUUCUUCUAAAGCUAAAUACCGGCCAGAGACCGAUAGCGCACAAGUAGAGUGAUCGAAAGAUGAAAAGUACUUUGAAAAGAGGGUUAAAUAGCACGUGAAAUUGUUGAAAGGGAAGCGUUUAUGACCAGACCUCGGCCGGGCGGAUCAUCCGGUGCUCUGCACCGGUGCACUUCGCCCGUCCCAGGCCAGCAUCGGUUCUCGCAGGGGGACAAAGGCCCGGGGAACGUGGCUCCCUCCGGGGAGUGUUAUAGCCCCGGGCGCAAUGCCCCUGCCGGGGACCGAGGUUCGCGCUCCGGCAAGGAUGCUGGCGUAAUGGUCAUCAAUGACCCGUCUUGAAACACGGACCAAGGAGUCGAACAUUUGUGCGAGUGUUUGGGUGUCAAACCCUCACGCGUAAUGAAAGUGAACGGAGGUGAGAGCCCGUAACUGGGUGCAUCAUCGACCGAUCCUGAUGUCUUCGGAUGGAUUUGAGUAGGAGCAUAACUGUUCGGACCC
rnacentral:rRNA from 1 species